rnacentral:rRNA from 1 species
UACGAAGGGGGCUAGCGUUGCUCGGAAUCACUGGGCGUAAAGCGCACGUAGGCGGACUCUUAAGUCGGGGGUGAAAUCCUGGAGCUCAACUCCAGAACUGCCUUCGAUACUGGGAGUCUUGAGUUCGGGAGAGGUGAGUGGAACUGCGAGUGUAGAGGUGAAAUUCGUAGAUAUUCGCAAGAACACCAGUGGCGAAGGCGGCUCACUGGCCCGAUACUGACGCUGAGGUGCGAAAGCGUGGGGAGCAAACAGG